rnacentral:lncRNA from 1 species
AAAAUAUAAGCACCACCAAAAAUGGACUUAGCACCACGGGAGGUGGUUUCACACCAAUUGGUCUAACAAACAUGUAAAAGGAUCUAUAAUGCUCUUUGGUGUUCUAAGUUGGUUUGUAAGGCUCAUUGGUCCAAAAGCAACUGUGGUCCAAUAUGCAUUAGUCCAGGGUUUCAGGAUAUAUAUUAAACUAAAGAAAAAUAUAAGCACCACCAAAAAGAGACUUAGCACCACAGUAGUUAGCUUCCCUUCCUUUGGUCCAACAGAUGGGUAUAGGGGUCAAAAUACUCUUUGGGGUUGUAAGUUGGUUUGUAUGGCUCAUUGGUCCACAGGCAACUUUGAUCCACUCUUCAAGUCAAGAGGUCUUUUAUAUUAUAUUUUAUUUGAUAAAAAU